UACGGAAGGUCCGGGCGUUAUCCGGAUUUAUUGGGUUUAAAGGGAGCGUAGGCCGGAGAUUAAGCGUGUUGUGAAAUGUAGAUGCUUAACAUCUGCACUGCAGCGCGAACUGGUUUCCUUGAGUACGCACAAAGUGGGCGGAAUUCGUGGUGUAGCGGUGAAAUGCUUAGAUAUCACGAAGAACUCCGAUUGCGAAGGCAGCUCACUGGAGCGCAACUGACGCUGAAGCUCGAAAGUGCGGGUAUCGAACAGG
rnacentral:rRNA from 1 species